AGAGUUUGAUCCUGGCUCAGGACGAACGCUGGCGGCGUGCCUAAUCCAUGCAAGUAGAACGCUGAAGGAGGAGCUUGCUUCUCUGGAUGAGUUGCGAACGGGUGAGUAACGCGUAGGUAACCUGCCUGGUAGCGGGGGAUAACUAUUGGAAACGAUAGCUAAUACCGCAUAAGAGUGGAUGUUGCAUGACAUUUGCUUAAAAGGUGCACUUGCAUCACUACCAGAUGGACCUGCGUUGUAUUAGCUAGUUGGUGGGGUAACGGCUCACCAAGGCGACGAUACAUAGCCGACCUGAGAGGGUGAUCGGCCACACUGGGACUGAGACACGGCCCAGACUCCUACGGGAGGCAGCAGUAGGGAAUCUUCGGCAAUGGACGGAAGUCUGACCGAGCAACGCCGCGUGAGUGAAGAAGGUUUUCGGAUCGUAAAGCUCUGUUGUAAGAGAAGAAUGAGUGUGAGAGUGGAAAGUUCACACUGUGACGGUAUCUUACCAGAAAGGGACGGCUAACUACGUGCCAGCAGCCGCGGUAAUACGUAGGUCCCGAGCGUUGUCCGGAUUUAUUGGGCGUAAAGCGAGCGCAGGCGGUUAGAUAAGUCUGAAGUUAAAGGCUGUGGCUUAACCAUAGUAGGCUUUGGAAACUGUUUAACUUGAGUGCAAGAGGGGAGAGUGGAAUUCCAUGUGUAGCGGUGAAAUGCGUAGAUAUAUGGAGGAACACCGGUGGCGAAAGCGGCUCUCUGGCUUGUAACUGACGCUGAGGCUCGAAAGCGUGGGGAGCAAACAGGAAUUAGAUACCCUGGUAGUCCACGCUGUAAACGAUGAGUGCUAGGUGUUAGACCCUUUCCGGGGUUUAGUGCCGUAGCUAACGCAUUAAGCACUCCGCCUGGGGAGUACGACCGCAAGGUUGAAACUCAAAGGAAUUGACGGGGGCCCGCACAAGCGGUGGAGCAUGUGGUUUAAUUCGAAGCAACGCGAAGAACCUUACCAGGUCUUGACAUCCCUCUGACCGCUCUAGAGAUAGAGCUUUCCUUCGGGACAGAGGUGACAGGUGGUGCAUGGUUGUCGUCAGCUCGUGUCGUGAGAUGUUGGGUUAAGUCCCGCAACGAGCGCAACCCCUAUUGUUAGUUGCCAUCAUUUAGUUGGGCACUCUAGCGAGACUGCCGGUAAUAAACCGGAGGAAGGUGGGGAUGACGUCAAAUCAUCAUGCCCCUUAUGACCUGGGCUACACACGUGCUACAAUGGCUGGUACAACGAGUCGCAAGCCGGUGACGGCAAGCUAAUCUCUUAAAGCCAGUCUCAGUUCGGAUUGUAGGCUGCAACUCGCCUACAUGAAGUCGGAAUCGCUAGUAAUCGCGGAUCAGCACGCCGCGGUGAAUACGUUCCCGGGCCUUGUACACACCGCCCGUCACACCACGAGAGUUUGUAACACCCGAAGUCGGUGAGGUAACCGUAAGGAGCCAGCCGCCUAAGGUGGGAUAGAUGAUUGGGGUGAAGUCGUAACAAGGUAGCCGUAUCGGAAGGUGCGGCUGGAUCACCU
rnacentral:rRNA from 1 species